rnacentral:rRNA from 1 species
CCUACGGGUGGCAGCAGUGAGGAAUAUUGGUCAAUGGGCGAGAGCCUGAACCAGCCAAGUCGCGUGAAGGAUGACGGCCCUACGGGUUGUAAACUUCUUUUGUCAGGGAGCCAAUUAGUCCACGUGUGUUCUUAUCUAUAGUACCUGAAGAAAAAGCCUCGGCUAACUCCUUGCCAGCAGCCGCGGUAAUACGGAGGAUGCGAUCGUUCUCCGGUUUUUUUGGGUUUAAAGGGUGCGUUGGCGGAAUAUAAAGUCAGCGGUAAAAAUUCGGGGCUCAACCCCGUCGUGCCGUUGAAACUGAUGUUCUUGAGUGGGCGAGAAGUAUGCGGAAUGCGUGGUGUAGCGGUGAAAUGCAUAGAUAUAACGCAGAACUCCGAUUGCGAAGGCAGCAUACCGGCGCGCAACUGACGCUGAAGCACGAAAGCGUGGGUAUCGAACAGGAUUAGAUACCCCUGUAGUC